rnacentral:rRNA from 1 species
AUUGAACGCUGGCGGCAGGCCUAACACAUGCAAGUCGAACGGUAACAGGAAACAGCUUGCUGUUUCGCUGACGAGUGGCGGACGGGUGAGUAAUGUCUGGGAAACUGCCUGAUGGAGGGGGAUAACUACUGGAAACGGUAGCUAAUACCGCAUAACUUCGCAAGACCAAAGAGGGGGACCCUCGGGCCUCUGUUCAUCGGAUGUGCCCAGAUGGGAUUAGCUUGUUGGUGGGGUAACGGCGCACCAAGGCGACGAUCCCUAGCUGGUCUGAGAGGAUGACCAGCCACACUGGAACUGAGACACGGUCCAGACUCCUACGGGAGGCAGCAGUGGGGAAUAUUGCACAAUGGGCGUAAGCCUGAUGCAGCCAUGCCGCGUGUAUGAAGAAGGCCUUCGGGUUGUAAAGUACUUUCAGCGGGGAGGAAGGGAGUAAAGUUAAUACCUUUGCUCAUUGACGUUACCCGCAGAAGAAGCACCGGCUAACUCCGU